rnacentral:rRNA from 1 species
CGAGAAAGGGCUCGGCCCCGGUACAGUGGCGCACGGGUGAGUAACACGUGGGUAACCUGCCCUCGAGCGGGGGAUAACAUUCCGAAAGGGAUGCUAAUACCGCAUAAGACCACGACCUCGAAAGAGGAUGCGGUCAAAGCUGGCCUCUAUACAUAAGCUAGCACUUGAGGAUGGGCCCGCGGCGCAUCAGGUAGUUGGUGGGGUAAUGGCUCACCAAGCCGAAGACGCGUAGCUGGUCUGAGAGGAUGAUCAGCCACACUGGAACUGAGACACGGUCCAGACUCCUACGGGAGGCAGCAGUGGGGAAUCUUGCGCAAUGGGCGAAAGCCUGACGCAGCGACGCCGCGUGAGUGAUGAAGGCCUUCGGGUUGUAAAGCUCUGUGGGGCGAGACGAAUAAGUGCAGCCUAAUACGCUGCAUGAUGACGGUAUCGCCUUAGCAAGCACCGGCUAACUCUGUGCCAGCAGCCGCGGUAAGACAGAGGGUGCAAACGUUGUUCGGAAUUACUGGGCGUAAAGCGAGUGUAGGCGGUCUGAAA